GACGAACGCUGGCGGCGUGCUUAACACAUGCAAGUCGAACGGAAAGGCCCUGCUUUUGUGGGGUGCUCGAGUGGCGAACGGGAGAGUAACACGUGAGUAACCUGCCCUUGACUUGGGGAUAACUUCAGGAAACUGGGGCUAAUACCGGAUAGGAGCUCCUGCGGCAUGGUGGGGGUUGGAAAGUUUCGGCGGUUGGGGAUGGACUCGCGGCUUAUCAGCUUGUUGGUGGGGUAGUGGCUUACCAAGGCUUUGACGGGUAGCCGGCCUGAGAGGGUGACCGGCCACAUUGGGACUGAGAUACGGCCCAGACUCCUACGGGAGGCAGCAGUGGGGAAUAUUGCACAAUGGGCGGAAGCCUGAUGCAGCAACGCCGCGUGCGGGAUGACGGCCUUCGGGUUGUAAACCGCUUUCGCCUGUGACGAAGCGUGAGUGACGGUAAUGGGUAAAGAAGCACCGGCUAACUACGUG
rnacentral:rRNA from 1 species